UAAAAGUUUUGUAUCUCCGUGUGGCCUCUCAUACGUUCCUUAGUUAUCUGAUCAGGCCAAGGUUCUAAAUAAGAACAAGGAAACAAAGAAUGUUUGUACAUAUUGUGUUCCACCCUUUCAUUCUCCACCUCAUAUUAUAUGAUAAUUAUUACUCACAACAUUUCUGCCAUGUAUUGUAGACUAUUUAAACCCUGAACCCAAAUACUUUCUAACAAACAGCUUCCUUGUACUUAUGGUAUAGAAGCGUAUCACAAUUCCCUUCAGUAUGACAAGAGUAUUUACUUUGGUUUGUGUCUUUGCUGUUCUACUUCACACAGUCUAUAUAGCUGUGACAGGUGACUCAUCAAUCCCAUUGUAGUAACCUCUGUCUGCUAGCAAAAGAACAGAGCUUGUCAGGAUAUUGUUUGACCUGCUACCAGUGCAACACAGAUAAGUUUAAUCGAUGUUUAGGACGGCUUGUGAAAUGCCCAGAAAAUUACAUCUGUUUUUCAGGCUUUCUUCAAAAGGAAACAAAUUACCCUUUGUUGAUUGAAAGAAAAUGUGCUCCGACGUCUAUGUGCAAUCAGUCGUUAAGCUUCUUUAACGGGAUAAAGAUUAAACAUUCUUCUUCCUGCUGCAGCACAGAAAAUUGUGACCCUUCUCCAACAAGUAACAAAUCAUGAUCAAUAAAAGAAGUACAGCUUAAUAAAGAACAAUAGUCUGAGAAAACGUGAUUCAUGAUUAAAUAAAUGCAUACAAGUUGUUUUUUGUAGUUCAUAGCAGCACUACUGAUGAAGGCAAUGGAUUAUUCUGCCCGUCCUGUUCUACCGAAUUUUCCAGUGAGUGUGAGCCAGCCAAAACUAUCCAGUGCACAGGAAAAGAGGAUAGCUGUUUCUCAGUCUUCACAUUACACACAAUCAGUUAUGAUGUACAUGAAGAUUUAACUGCCAGAGGCUGUGUUUCUAGCAACCUUUGUAAUACUUACCUUGAAGGUACAAUGGCUCCUGGAUUCCUGAAUGACAAAAAAGUAAAAUGUGCUGGCAGUGCCAUAAGUUCAAACAGAAUUCAUUUACUGACAUUAUGUGUGCUUUUCUUAUUUUCAUGCAAAUAGUAUUUUGGAAAAGUAUCCUGUAUCAGUGCAAUCUGCAUGAUAAUGUCAAAAUGAUAUCAGCUUUAUCAUAUCAGAUAACAUGCAAAAUAUUAAUAUACAUAAAAGGAAACCUGUCAUGUCCAAAUCCAUGUGUUGGUUUCUAUGUGAAAUAGUAAGGAAAGCCUAAGUAUUAUGAACUAUGUGAUUUCUCUCCAUUAAUUCCAAAUAAAUACAUGUACAUUUUUAAAAGAAAAAAAUUCUGAUAUUUCCUCUGGUCUAAUAUCUGCCAUUAUAUGGGUCACCUGUUUAAAAGCAAGCAUCCUAUUGAUUGCUAUUGCCUACUGCUCCUGGGCAAACGUAGUGCCUUUUAUUACAUAUGGGGUAAAGUGUUUUAAAUGCAUGACAAUAUAAUAUUCUGCUGCUACACAGGAUACACAGUUGAUGACAGAUACAUUUUAAAGAAUCCCAUUGUAUACUACUGAGCUUAUCUGCUGUGU